GUAUUCAAUCAGUUACAUUAAUAUAAUCCGCCCUCUCACGGCGGUAACACGGGUUCGAUUCCCGUUGGGACUACCA
rnacentral:tRNA from 1 species